ensembl:lncRNA
UGAUUUUUUGCCUACUAAAUGUCCAGUCUUAACGAGUUCUAGUUUUCUUCAUGGAAAUUAUUGCUAGGCACACAAAAAGAUUUUACAUAUUGUAGUAAAACUCCCUAACCCCCAAAACUAGAAUGACCAUUACUGGCUUUAUAAAAAUUUUAAUUUUCUCUUACAGAUAAACUCACAGUAAGAAUAUGGUUGAAAAUUAAUUAUAACCAGUUCAUUAAGAUUUUUGACACCGUUGUAUAUUGAAAUAUAUAUUUACAUGCUAGGAAAAGCAUCUGAAGUAAAGGGAGUUUGCAGAUGUUCACGUGACAAUCCUUGAAACAUAGAAACACAUCAGGACACAUGGCAAAGAUGAAAGGACUGGUUGGAAUUCAGGCUACUGCUGGCUUUGUGCCCCUGCAUUAUCCGGGUGGGCAACGUGUAAUCACAAGGGUCCUAAAAGUCAAGGAAGUCAGAAGACAAGAGACAGAAGACGAUGCCUCAGAAUGAUCAGAGAGAGGCUGUGUCCCCACUUUGAAGACUGACGAAAAGAGACUAUGCACCAAGAAAUAGUGCACUAUCUAGAAGACUGAGAAUGCAAAACGAGCAUUAUUCCUGGAACUACCAAAGAGAUAUACAUCUCCUCCCACCUUGAUUUUAGUCAUGUAUGGUCCCUGUUGCACUAACUAACCUGCAAAACUAUAAUUCAAUGUUGAAUGUCGUAUCAGUACUAAUAUUACUGCACCUUCCACCUCUUUUUAUUCCACCUCUUUUUUAUACAGGCACCUCAGCUUGUUUCUAACCACAACUAUCUAUCAGCAUACUCUAUGCCAUCUUUGUCUUUGACCCCUUUAGGGUCAUCAUGCCACUGGGAACAAGCAUCCUCAUGGCUUUGCCUUUGCUUUUCCUUCCUUUCAAAAUGAAAUGAAGCAUGAAUUAGUGUCUCAGAAGUUUAAGAUCUUAUGCUUCCUAUCCUCAGAGAGCUUCUGGCUUAUUUUUCAUGGCCUUCAACUCAUGCUUCCUAGAAGAGGGCUGAGUCUAUUUCUACAGCACUCGUCCGUAGCCCACUCUGUUAUUCUGCUGCUUCUCACACUACUUAGCUUUAGUGCUUCAGUACCUUUUCACUGUGUGAACCUUUAGGAUUAGCAAAAAAUUCUGAUUUAAGAUUGUAUUCAAACUUACUUCCCCUUUUGCCAUCAAUUAUCAGUGUCGAGUUGCUCUCUAUCUACCGUGCUUUGCCUUCUGACGAAUCUCCAUGUUCUUAACCUCGUUCUUGCUUCUCUGUCUUCCUGUCCAGAACCGACAUCAUAGCAAACUUUCCAAAAAUGCACUCAGCAAAAUUUAUGCAUUUUGCUGCCCCUCACUAAUGGCAGUCAACAUUCCUGCCCUAGGUCAAGUUGUUUGAUAAAAAUCUCAACUUUAUGCCAGGCUUAAUUCCUGCAAUUUUGUGCUAGCACACUCCCGCUUCAGUUUCUCAAAGCUAUGCACUCUUGUGAGCAUAAUUGAGAUCUUUGCAGAUCAACGCAGAACUUUUUUUCUUUCUCUUCAAUCCUGCAUAUUCUCUCGUCAGUUCGGGUUUUUCUCAAAUUCCUUGGAAAAAUAUUGAGAUGUUUCUGGAUGAUCUAGCUAUGGCCUUCUAUUUAACAUGCAACCCUUCUCUGAAGGAACUGAAACCUUCCUUGCUGGGAACACCAUUUCCCACUAUCCCCACAAGUCAUUCCCCAUGGAUAAUUACUGUCUCUACAACUGAGGAAAAAUGAAGAGCAUUUGUGCAAACUCACCUCUUAAAAACAGAUCAGUUAAGUACUAAAAUUUUCACAAUAUGUCACAACCUGGAAACCAGACUCAAAGGUAACUGAUGGCUGGUAGUUCAGCUGCCCUGUGGUCUUUCUCUUAUUGGAAUGGCAAGCCAAAGCAGCUGGCUUCAUGAUUACAACAAAUUAGAGAGCAACCAGGCAGCUCCUCAAGGCCAUGAGUUCUGUUUGUUUUGUGAACCAGUAACUUCAAGUUUAGCUGCUACCAUUUGGUGUGGG